rnacentral:lncRNA from 1 species
GACUAUUAAAACAUGAUCUUAGCUGUGUCCAAGGUGCACCUAUUUGAGGUUUUUUUCCUCUCCCAAUUUGAAACGAGAAACCCCUACCAUGCUAGGCUCCAUGUCAAUCUACAUAGAGGGCUCUAGCACAUGGAAAUAGGGUGGGUGAUGGAAACAAGUAAUAUACAGCAUUAUUCUUAUUAGAAUGAGACUCAAGAAAAUGGUGUGACUUACAAGGGC